GUCCACCUCCACACCACUCUGGCAACACCUGAAGAUGUCCGAUCUUGGAAGCUAACCAGGGUCCGGCCUGUUUAGUAUUUGGAUGGGGAACCUCCUGGGAAUACCAGGUGCUGUAGGCU
rfam:Callipepla squamata strain Texas jcf7180005139855, whole genome shotgun sequence.